GAUGAACGCUGGCGGCGUGCCUAAUACAUGCAAGUCGAGCGAAUGGAUUAAGAGCUUGCUCUUAUGAAGUUAGCGGCGGACGGGUGAGUAACACGUGGGUAACCUGCCCAUAAGACUGGGAUAACUCCGGGAAACCGGGGCUAAUACCGGAUAACAUUUUGAACCGCAUGGUUCGAAAUUGAAAGGCGGCUUCGGCUGUCACUUAUGGAUGGACCCGCGUCGCAUUAGCUAGUUGGUGAGGUAACGGCUCACCAAGGCAACGAUGCGUAGCCGACCUGGGAGGGGGAUCGGCCACGCGGGGAAUGAGCAACGGCCCAGACUCCUACGGGAGGCAGCAUUAGGGAAUCUUCCGCAAUGGACGAGAGUCUGACGGAGCAACGCCGCGUGAGUGAUGAAGGCUUUCGGGUCGUACAACUCUGUUGUUAGGGAAGAACAAGUGCUAGUUGAAUAAGCUGGCACCUUGACGGUACCUAACCAGAAAGCCACGGCUAACUACGUGCCAGCAGCCGCAGUAA
rnacentral:rRNA from 1 species